rnacentral:ncRNA from 2 species
AUUUAAUAAUCAAAAAUAGGUUCUACGGACUGUUGGUCCAUAGAUUAAAAGGGAAGAUGGGUAUAAAUCCCACACGGUCCCGCCGCUGUGAUAGUGUAGUCUUUUCCAUAUACCACUGGGAAACUGGGAAGGUGGAAAAGAUGCUAAUGCUUAAGUCAGAAUACCUGCCUAUUUUUAAUUACUAUG